rnacentral:rRNA from 1 species
AGAGUUUGAUCAUGGCUCAGAACGAACGCUGGCGGCAGGCUUAACACAUGCAAGUCGAACGCUCGUAGCAAUACGGGAGUGGCAGACGGGUGAGUAACGCGUGGGAACAUACCCUCCGGUUCGGAAUAGCUCAGGGAAACUUGGAUUAAUACCGGAUACGGCUGAGAGGCGAAAGAUUUAUCGCCGGAGGAUUGGCCCGCGUUCGAUUAGCUUGUUGGUGAGGUAACGGCUCACCAAGGCGAUGAUCGAUAGCUGGUCUGAGAGGAUGAUCAGCCACAUUGGGACUGAGACACGGCCCAAACUCCUACGGGAGGCAGCAGUGGGGAAUAUUGGACAAUGGGCGCAAGCCUGAUCCAGCCAUGCCGCGUGAGUGAUGACGGCCUUAGGGUUGUAAAGCUCUUUCGCUCGGGACGAUAAUGACGGUACCGAGAUAAGAAGCCCCGGCUAACUUCGUGCCAGCAGCCGCGGUAAUACGAAGGGGGCUAGCGUUGUUCGGAAUUACUGGGCGUAAAGCGCGUGUAGGCGGGUCUUUAAGUCAGGGGUGAAAUGCCAAGGCUCAACCUUGGAACUGCCUUUGAUACUGGAGAUCUUGAGUCCGGGAGAGGUGGGUGGAAUUGCGAGUGUAGAGGUGAAAUUCGUAGAUAUUCGCAAGAACACCAGUGGCGAAGGCGGCUCACUGGCCCGGGAACUGACGCUGAGACGCGAAAGCGUGGGGAGCAAACAGGAUUAGAUACCCUAGUAGUCC